rnacentral:misc_RNA from 1 species
GUUCAGGAGGGUAUAAAAAAACCCGCCGAAGCGGGUUUUUUUACGUUACUACAGAUUACUCUGCAGCAGCUUCUGUUUUCUCUGAACGAUCAACCAGCUCGAUGUAUGCCAUCGGCGCGUUGUCGCCUGCACGGAAGCCACACUUCAGAAUGCGAGUGUAACCACCGGCGCGGCUCGCGAAACGCGGGCCCAGCUCGUUAAACAGUUUUGCCACGAUCUCGUUAUCACGAGUACGGGCGAAUGCCAGACGACGAUUAGCAACGCUAUCAGUCUUGGCAAGAGUAAUCAGCGGCUCAACUACGCGACGCAGCUCUUUCGCUUUAGGCAGGGUCGUCUUGAUGAUUUCAUGACGAACCAGUGAACCUGCCAUGUUGCGGAACAUAGCCUGGCGAUGGCUGCUGUUGCGGUUCAGUUGACGACCACUCUUACGAUGGCGCAUGACCUUAUCCUUCUCAGUAAAACCUUAACCUGUGAUCCGGUUACUCGUCAGCGA